rnacentral:lncRNA from 1 species
AAGAGGAAGAAGAAUUGACUUAAUAUAAUAAAGACUUUCUAAAGAUUAGCACUUUUCUGAACACAGAAAUAGGAACCUCUUUAUCACUAGAAGUGUUCAAGACAAAACUGAAUAGCUCCCUGAAAAUUAAGUAUCCAACUUGCAUUUAUUAAGUAUUUUUGAUGGGCUAGGCAUUAUCUUAGGUAUUAUUAUACAAAUGAACAAUGAUACAAUGAGGUUAAUUCUGUAGAUGAAGACAUCAGGUAUGCAUAUCAGUAUAUACAAAUAUUUAUAUAAGGUAAUUUUUAAAGGGAAGCACUAGAAGUUGAAGUGAACCACAAAGGCCUCAUGGAGUUGGUGUAUGCACUUUAAAUUGGAAGAAGAGUUAGAGAUUCUAAGAGGCAAAGGGAAGGAGUGAAUAUAUUCCAGAUUUGGAGGGCAACCUACAAAAAAGAAUGGAACAGCAGGAAAAACAAUUUCAUAGGAUGGUACCAUGAAUGUAGAGGAAUAAUAGGGCCAAGCUGUCAGAAUGAGAUCCCUGGAGGUGGUCUAGAGGGCUGGCAAAGGGAUAUUUGGCUGGGAGCCUGUCACCAGCUUUGCAAACAACUAGAAACUAAAGGGAUGCCUAUCAAUUGGGAAAUGGCCAAAUAAGUUGUGGUAUGUGUUUAGAAUGGUAUACUAAUUUGCCAUAAGAAAUAACAAACAAG